rnacentral:ncRNA from 1 species
UUACCCUGACCCUGUCGCUGCACAUUCAGCGAUCGGACUUGGCGGUCCGGUUA